GUAAUUUCCUGUAAAGUUUAAGAGAAGUAGGUCUCGGGCCAGGUGAGGCUGCUUAAACCAGCAUUGAACCACACACUCCUGACUUGCUUUCACAAAUGUUUGGUAGGUGGCAAGAUCUCGUCUUGAUAUCAACAAGGAUUAUAUAUUAUGUCAUUAUCAUUAUAUUAAUCAAUAAUAAAGGUUUACUCUACUCUGACUGAUAGGCAAAGCAGUCAAAUUCGGGAUUAGAUGGCAACGACAAACUUCCUUGCUGUUAUUUUGCAUUUCAAAUCGGAGAGCUAGAAUACAAAUCUAAAGAAUAUAAAGUUUGGAUAAAGCCAGAGAGUCGUAAAGCAAGCUGGUGAUGAAGAUUAAUUGACCACCACACAAGGAUAACCAAAGGUUACGUUGACAUGAAUGCAAUGGAAUGGAUACAAACUCUUGUAAUCUCAGGACUGUGUAUCCCGUCCUUCUGUGCCGACUACCGCCAACACUGUUUAAUUGAAACCCCCAAAUCCUGGUUUGAUGCCCAGAGCUACUGCAGAGAGAGAGGCCAUGACCUGGCCACCAUAGACGACAUGGGGGCAAUGAAGUCAUUGCUAGCCUUAAAUGCAGACAGAGCUGAUGAGCUAUGGAUCGGUCUUCAACAUGGGGGUCCUGAAAGGUGGCAUUGGUCACUGGCAGACGAGGACUUCUACCAAGAGGGAGAGAGAGACUACCGCAAUUUCGUUGGAAUGGACAAUACUGGUCAUUUUAUUAAACACGAAUCUGGCAAGUGGUACCCUGUUGACAAUAUAAACAGCUAUUUCAUGUGUUAUGAUGGUAAGGAAAACAUACACUCAUGAGUAUGGACAAUACACUUUCAAUAGUAAUGUAUUUAUAUAUUUAUAAUUUAUACAAUUUUAAGGUGCUAUAGGUAAGAUCUAACUACAAUUUAAGCUACUUUUUGAGUGUAAUUUGUCAGACACGGCCUAGCCAUCUGUCAGCUGUUAGUGCACUGUGACAAUCUAUUUCUAGUUGACCGCGACUUCCUCUGUAUGAGAUCAUUUUGAUUUGAAAACGCUCCAGGGUCCCCUCUGACCAAUAAGAGCCUCUCUUAGUUCCCUGAUUGGUUCAGGGAAUACAUCUUGUCUGUCAAUCAAAGGUAUGUGAAAUGCCGGGAGGGAGCAGAGAGAGAAAGGAUGUCUUAACUCUUAUCUCACCUGCAACACCUUAAAACCCAUACCGUUUACACAUUGUCAAGUCUAUAAUUUAUAAAAUGCAUUUGAUGCAAACAAAAGAAUGAAUGCUUUUUUCAGGUAACCAACAAGG